rnacentral:rRNA from 1 species
AACGAACGCUGGCGGCGUGGAUAAGACAUGCAAGUCGAACGGUUUUCAGGUGUAGCAAUACAUCUGAAAGACAGUGGCGAACGGGUGCGUAACACGUGAACAAUCUACCUUCAAAUGGGGAAUAGCUCGCCGAAAGGCGAAUUAAUACCGCAUACGGUUGCCUCUCGCAUGAGAGACAUACCAAAGUCAGGGACCGCAAGGCCUGACGUUAGAAGAGGAGUUCGCGGCCUAUCAGCUAGUUGGCGAGGUAACGGCUCACCAAGGCUAAGACGGGUAGCUGGUCUGAGAGGAUGAUCAGCCACAC